UACGUAGGGGGCAAGCGUUAUCCGGAUUUACUGGGUGUAAAGGGAGCGUAGACGGCAGUGCAAGUCUGGAGUGAAAGGCGGGGGCUCAACCCCCGGACUGCCCUGGAAACUGUACGGCUGGAGUGCAGGAGAGGUAAGUGGAAUUCCUAGUGUAGCGGUGAAAUGCGUAGAUAUUAGGAGGAACACCAGUGGCGAAGGCGGCUUACUGGACUGUAACUGACGUUGAGGCUCGAAAGCGUGGGGAGCAAACAGG
rnacentral:rRNA from 1 species